GGUGAACCUGCGGAAGGAUCAUUAAUGAAUUUUUGAAAUGGGGUUGUAGCUGGCUUUUAAUCGAGCAUGUGCACGCCCUGUUCAUCCAUUUUUUUAAUAUACACCUGUGCACCUUUUGUAGGUUGGUAGUUACGAAAAGAAAAAAGGCCUUACGGUUUUUCCCUUCUUUUCUUACACUUCCUUCCUAUGUUUUUAUUAUAAACCCUAUGAAUGUCCAUUGAAUGUCUUUGUGUUAAUAAACACAUUAUAAUAUAACUUUCAGCAACGGAUCUCUUGGCUCUCGCAUCGAUGAAGAACGCAGCGAAAUGCGAUAAGUAAUGUGAAUUGCAGAAUUCAGUGAAUCAUCGAAUCUUUGAACGCACCUUGCGCUCCUUGGUAUUCCGAGGAGCAUGCCUGUUUGAGUGUCAUGGAAUUAUCAAACCCUCUUUACUUUAUUGUUAAAGUUGGUUUGGAUUUGGAGGUUUUAUUGCUGGCCGUAUUAAAUUGUUGGUCGGCUCCUCUUGAAUGCAUUAGCUUUUGAGGCCUUUAAACGGGGUCGGCUUAUCGGUGUGAUAAAAUUUAUGCCGUGGUCGGUUUCUGUGAAAUAAAAUCAAAGCUUCUAAUCGUCCCUUUUAACGGGACAAUACAUUUGACCUCUGACCUCAAAUCAGGUAGGACUACCCGCUGAACUUAAGCAUAUCAAUAAGCGGAGGAAAAGAAACUAACAAGGAUUCCCCUAGUAACUGCGAGUGAAGCGGGAAAAGCUCAAAUUUAAAAUCUGGCAGUCUUUGAUUGUCCGAGUUGUAGUCUGGAGAAGUGUUUUCCGCGCUGGACCGUGUAAAAGUCCCUUGGAACAGGGCGUCAUAGAGGGUGAGAAUCCCGUCUUUGACACGGACUACCAGUGCUUUGUGAUGCGCUCUCAAAGAGUCGAGUUGUUUGGGAAUGCAGCUCAAAAUGGGUGGUAAAUUCCAUCUAAAGCUAAAUACAGGCGAGAGACCGAUAGCGAACAAGUACCGUGAGGGAAAGAUGAAAAGCACUUUGGAAAGAGAGUUAAACAGUACGUGAAAUUGCUGAAAGGGAAACGCUUGAAGUCAGUCGCGUCGUCCGGAAAUCAGCCUUACAUUUAUUUGUUUGGUGUAUUUUCUGUUCGACGGGCCAACAUCGAUUUUAAUCGUUGGAUAAAAAUGAAGGAAAUGUGGCACCUUCGGGUGUGUUAUAGUCUUUUAUUGCAUACAACGGUCGGGAUCGAGGAUCUCAGCACGCCUUUAUUGGUCGGGGUUCGCCCACGUUUCGUGCUUAGGAUGUUGGCAUAAUGGCUUUAAACGACCCGUCUUGAAACACGGACCAAGGAGUCUAACAUACCUGCGAGUGUUUGGGUGUUAAACCCGAGCGCGUAAUUAAUGUAAUAGUUGAGAUCCCCCUUACAAGGGAGCAUCGACGCCCGGACUUGACCUUUUGUGAUAGCUCUGCGGUAGAGCAUGUAUGUUGGGACCCGAAAGAUGGUGAACUAUGCCUGAAUAGGGUGAAGCCAGAGGAAACUCUGGUGGAGGCUCGUAGCGAUUCUGACGUGCAAAUCGAUCGUCAAAUUUGGGUAUAGGGGCGAAAGACUAAUCGAACCAUC
rnacentral:rRNA from 1 species